rnacentral:rRNA from 1 species
AGGACGAACGCUGGCGGCGUGCUUAACACAUGCAAGUCGAGCGGUAAGGCCUUUCGGGGUACACGAGCGGCGAACGGGUGAGUAACACGUGGGUGAUCUGCCCUGCACUCUGGGAUAAGCUUGGGAAACUGGGUCUAAUACCGGAUAUGACCACAGUGCGCAUGUGUUGUGGUGGAAAGAUUUUAUCGGUGCAGGGAGUCGGGCCCGCGGCCUAUCAGCGUUUGGUUGGUGGGGUAAGUCGGCCUACCGAAGGCGACGGACGGGGUAACGCCGGACCUGGAAGGACGGGUCGACCGGACCGACGACGUGGGACUAGGACGACACCGGCCCAACGACUUCCGGACGGGGGCAGCGAGUAGGGAAUAGUUGUACGAAGUGGGACGGAAGCCUGA